rnacentral:rRNA from 1 species
GCUAACUACGUGCCAGCAGCCGCGGUAAUACGUAGGUGGCAAGCGUUAUCCGGAAUUAUUGGGCGUAAAGCGCGCGCAGGCGGUUUCUUAAGUCUGAUGUGAAAGCCCACGGCUUAACCGUGGAGGGUCAUUGGAAACUGGGGAACUUGAGUGCAGAAGAGGAGAGCGGAAUUCCACGUGUAGCGGUGAAAUGCGUAGAGAUGUGGAGGAACACCAGUGGCGAAGGCGGCUCUCUGGUCUGUAACUGACGCUGAGGCGCGAAAGCGUGGGUAGCAAACAGGAUUAGAUACCCUUGUAGUC